AACGAACGCUGGCGGCAUGCCUAACACAUGCAAGUCGAACGAGACCUUCGGGUCUAGUGGCGCACGGGUGCGUAACGCGUGGGAAUCUGCCCUUGGGUUCGGAAUAACAGCGAGAAAUUGCUGCUAAUACCGGAUGAAGUCUUCGGACCAAAGAUUUAUCGCCCAGGGAUGAGCCCGCGUAGGAUUAGGUAGUUGGUGGGGUAAUGGCUCACCAAGCCGACGAUCCUUAGCUGGUCUGAGAGGAUGAUCAGCCACACUGGGACUGAGACACGGCCCAGACUCCUACGGGAGGCAGCAGUGGGGAAUAGGGUACAAUGGGCGAAAGCCUGAUCCAGCAAUGCCGCGUGAGUGAUGAAGGCCUUAGGGUUGUAAAGCUCUUUUACCAGGGAUGAUAAUGACAGUACCUGGAGAAUAAGCUCCGGCUAACUCCGUGCCAGCCGCCGCGGUAA
rnacentral:rRNA from 1 species